GGAAUCGAACCCAGGACGGUUCAGGGGACUAUGUCCUCUGCAUAAUGGGCGCUCGCUCUACCUCUACAGCACGCAGCACAGUAUUAGCAUUCUUGUGACCGUGAGUUUGGUAUUUUAUUUUUGAAAGUCUCAAACGGAAACCACUAUAGUAUUGCCGCUCGGGAAGGUGCUUUACGGUUUCACCAACCAGACUCGGUAACAGAGGCUUGGUUGACUCAUUUCGGCCCUUUUCUGAGUCUGUCCGUGUCGUCAGAACGAAUAGCUGGGUUGAGGUUCGGUUCGACAGCUGGAAGCAGCAUGGCGUCAGGAGGCCCCAUGGUGAACGGAGACAUCUCCCGCCCUCCGGGUCAGCCGGGCACGCUGGAGGAGACGGUGCAGCAGAUGAACAUGCUGAUCCAGGAGAACCGCGACCUGAAAGAGGCGCUGCGUCAGACCAACCUGACCAUGAAGGAGCGCUUCGAGGGCCUGACGGCGUGGAAGGAGAAGCAGCGGCAGGAGAAGGACUUCCUGGAGAAGCGUCUGGAGGAGGCCCGCCGCUGCAUAGAGACGCUGACCGUCCAGAACCAGGAGCUCAGCAAGAGGCCGGAGGCAGGGGGCGGAGCUCAGAGCGCGGAGGCCGACGCCCUGCGCGCCCAGGUGGCUCGACUGCAGGCGGAGAAGAACGACCUGGUGGCCCUGAACUCUGAGCUGCAGCUGAAGGCUGAGCAGGGAGCCGAGGAGGACUCCUUCAUCGAGAUCAUCAAGGUGUCGGACGCAGGUGUGGAAGACGUGAACCAAACGUGCGGUUCGGAGCGCAUCAGGCGCCCGGACCUCAGCAUGACCACGUCGCGGCAGGAGAACGAGGAGGCCACGGUGAGCCGGCUGCUGCAGUCGCUGAGGAACGAGACGCAGAGAUGUGAGCAGCUGCAGAGCGAGCUGCAGGCCUGCACUGCCAGAAUCCAGGAUCUGGAGGAGAAGAACCAUAAAGUGGAGAAAACCAUGAAGACCACCCAGACAGAGGCGAAAGAAGACGCUGCAAAGGAGGAGAAGGCGGCGUCUGAGGUGGAGAACCUCAAGUCUCAGGUGAGGACGCUGUUCCGGGACUUGCAGCAGGCGCAGAGCAAGCUGGACGAAGCCGAAGGCAUGAAGAAGAACCUGCAGGACAGGUGUCGGGAGGUGGAGCAGGACGUGGCCACGCUGAAGGCCCAGCUGCUGGAGAAGCAGGCGGUGCAGGCGGAGAACGAGCGGCUGAAGCUGCAGCUGGGCAGCCUGCAGGCGCAGGGCCAGCUGGAGCAGAAGAAGGCCGACGACGACAGGAACAACCUGGCUCAGCUGAAGGACGCCUACACCAAACUGUUUGAGGACUACAACGAGCUCAAAGAGGAGAAGAAGAGAAAGGAGUCCCACAUGGUGGAGAGGAACCUGGUGGAGGACCUGCAGCAGCGGCUCACCGCUGCAGAGGAGGCGCUGGCCGUCAAGCAGAACAAGAUCGACGACAUGAAGCAGGAGAUGUUCCAGAAGGAGAAGGAGCUGGAAACCAUCUCUGUGUUCCAGGCUCAGGCCGAGGUCUACUCCUCGGACUUCUACGCGGAGCGAGCGGCGAGGGAGAAGCUCCACGAGGAGAAGGAGCGCCUGGCCGCACAGCUGGAGUUCGUUAAGAAGCAGAACACGCAGCUGCAGCAGGACAUGGACUCACUGGGCCGGUACGCAACACUCACACAGGCGUUCUCUGAAUGAAAUGCAGCGCAGACACGGAUCCACUGUAUCGGGCUCUCAUGGACCCGAUGCCAGUCUUGUAGGAAGAGGUGCCGACUGGAACCAGGGCAACAUUCCUGAACACGCCUGCCCCAAAUGCAACGAGAUCCUUCCAGACCUGGACUCCCUGCAGAUCCACAUCAUGGACUGCAUCAACUAGACCUUCCUCACCAGGAGCACCAUCAGAGUCUUCCUCUGCUCUCACCCGUACUGUACCUCCCUGUGUCCUAUCCUGUAGGAUCCAAAGAUCUCAUAGUUUCUGGAUGGAAGUCUAAAGAGGCUUCAUCAAUCCAGGCCUGCUGUAGUUUGGGGGUUUGUGGAAAAAGUGCGUAGGAGCCAAUCCCAACAGUUGGCUUUUGAUCGAUCUAGCUGGAAAUAAACCCUAUAUUUUAUAUUAUUAUUGUUUUUUUGUUUUAUUUUGUUCAGUUUGUCAAAAAAAAAAAAAGGUAAUCUUUCUCAGAAUCUAUAGAUUUUAGAGCAACGUUAUCACAACUUGGCGCCACUGAAAAAGGCAGGUGAAAGAAAACCUUCAAUUUGCCACGUAUAUAAAAUCCCUGUAAAUGUUGUAAAACGUCUCAUCAUAGGAGGAAACGAGUAGAAAGAGUAGGAAGCAUAUAUGUCACGUUUAGGAAAGGUAAAGUGAUCUCCUGUCUGUUCUACAGCCAACUGAAACCUGAGAGCAGCAGAUGAGGCUCCACACUGCAGAACAGCAUGAGCCAAAACACUGGCGUGGAUUUAUUUAUUUAUUUUCUUGUGUGUUUAUAGUAAACCAAGCAAACCGAAGGUUUACAUCGCCUUACAUGCCAUUUGCCAUCUUAUGGCACAAUAUUUAAUAUUGACCAUAGCUGUCAUAGAAAUCCCCUUUUAAAAGCCAAACGUUUGGUUUUCACGUUGCUCUAUAUCCUGUCUCAAAAUUACCCUGUAGAAAUCUUUCAUGCUAUUUUUUUAUUUUUAUUAUUUGACAUGUUUUGUCUUGGCAUUUCAGGCGUUCCAUAUAUUGAAGCUGGUUAUGCUAGGACAGUUUUUUAAAGCAAAAAAAAAAAAAAAAAUCAUUAAUCUACUAAUUUAAUAUAGAUGUCACCUUAAAUCUUUUGCCAUCUUUUUGUUUCUUUUCUUUUUUUUUUUUUUGACCAUAGAUAUAUGUUUUGUAAAUACGGGCCUGGGAUGGUACAGGAGCCUGGCUUUGCAUGAAAACAUUGUACCACUUCUAGCAUUUAAAUAAGGUUCAGUUAAAGAAUUUAAGAAAAUGUUUUGGGGUUUGUAAUCUCUGCGUGAUCUGAGCUGAAAAGUGGGAAAGAAUAUAAAUCUGCAUGGCAGACAUGUCCUACCAUGUUACCAAGUAUGCAUCUUCUAAAUGCUUUGAGAUUUUAUGGAGUCUCUGAUCAUCAUUUAAGCUCCUGAUUGGAUUUACUGUCUGGAGAGGAUGGGUAAGAUGAAGGCACACAUUUUCUUUUUAUUAAGCAGAUGAAACUCUAUAAUUAGAACAUAAUUUAUAUUUACCUGUUUAUGAAUAUGCAGGAAACUCUGUCAGUUCUGUAUACCUUGUAAGUUUUAAAGGUUUGGAAUUCUGUGGAAAAAAAAAAUUAAUAAAAUGAGAGAAUUUCUGUC